rfam:Treponema sp. OMZ 838, complete genome.
UCCGCCACGGAUGGCGGGGGUUCCAAGCAGCAGCGUGUUUGCCCUGCAAACACGUAGGUAUAAAAUGUACAGGGAAGUACAUUUUAUACCGUGC